UAAGAACUUUAAAGGAAUGUUAAUGAGGGGGAUGGGAGGGGGGGGAGAAUCCAGCCCACCCUGAGCUCUCACUAUAAUCCCUUCCCUCGUGCUACUGCAGUAUCCGCGCCACUCAUCUCCCUUCAGAGGAAUUGGAACCAUCAUAAAAAUUUCAUCUGACUGGAGGGUGGAUUUGAAAUGGUUCAGAACAACUUGGCUUGUUCCUGGAAUGUUCCCUCAAGUCCUGGGCAUGCCCAUCUAAGAGCUCUUCUCCUCUAGCCCCUGGCCAGGUGCCAGACACUGCAUGGAAAUGUAUUGAGACAGCAGCUUUGGUCGCCAACGUGACAAUGGGACAGAGGAGCACGCUGGGCUCCCGAGGAAGAGGCUGUCCAGCAUUUCUGCUCACCAGGGUUGCUCCCAGAAAUUUUUCCCAUGGUGUGCACAGCUGAAGCACUCUCAAGGCACGGCUCACAGCAUCACCAGGGGGCUCCUCCAUUGUGACAAAUUUCCGAAAUUAAACUGCGUGCAGGUGCAGUCCCGAGAGCCAAGCGCCACCAAACACAAUGGCACCGGCAGCAUACCAGCCUGAUCGACUCUCACGUGCCUGAGCAACAGCUACGUGACACGUCUGUCAGGGACAAAGGGAAGGGCCGCCCCACUGACCGCCAUUGCUGGCCUUUAGCGACACAAGGCAGGUGAGGUAACGUCGUUUCCUGCACCGACCUCUGGUGAAACAGCCCACUGUUCUCUGUACUAGGAAAACUGGCCUUGGGGUUAACAGUAGAAGUGGGAAUCAGAUCUGGUUCUGUUCCCAGCUCUGCCAUGGACUUGUUGUGGGACUGUGGUAUAAAUUAUCCUCCACUCAGCCACAGCUGGGAGACGUGUCACCAGCCCUCUGCACUGAAGUUGGAGAGAGACACGCCUUGUAUCAUUGCUGUCGUGAUCUUAAACCCAGAAUGCCGCACUAUUAUGAAGAUGCACACAGUAUUGUUGUGUGCUUGCUUGUAAAAAUUGCUCAUUUUUAAAUUGCUCACUUUUUAAAUUGGACAUGAUUAUGGAGUUCUGUGCCACUCUUAAAAAAACAGAUAAAAGGACAAGAUCCGUGCUUCAAAGAGCUUGCAAUCUAAUAAAUACAGAUCAUGGGAAAUAAAUCCAAGAAGGUACAGGAUAUAGACACUGAGAAAAACCAGUUAUUGGAUUAUAAAUCUAUGGAAGAUUAACAUUGAGGACGACACUACAAUAUUCUUGGCUCUGCCUAUGGCAUGCAACAAGUCACUUCACCUCUCUGUGCUUGUUACUCCUCUCGCCCUUUGUCUGUCUUGUCAAUUUAGAAUGUAAGCUCUUGGGGACAGGAACUGUUUCUUAGUAUAUGUCUGUACAGUGCCUGGCACGCCACACCCUCAGACUUAGUUGGGGCCUCUAGGUGCCAUUGUAGUAUAAUUAUAUGAUAUUGCAACACAGAAGUGCCAAGCGAAGGAUCCAUUUUUAGGAGUUAGUUUUCUAAUCUUCCAUGUAUCAAUUAAAUAGCAUUUCCAAAUGUCUGAAUGUUUCACUUCUUUAACUGUAAAGCUUUUUCACUGCUGCUUUUGUAAGUGGGCACUAAUUUAGUAAAUUUAACGGAAAGUCAACAGCGUUGUUGGGUUGGGUUAUUUAUAGGCUGACAGCAGUUUGACUGCAUGAGUGCGUGGAAGGGCCAUCUGUGGGGAGAUAAACACUGGAAAGCGUCACUAAACAAGAAGUGGGUGAUAAGGAGAUAUUUGAAGGGAGAGAUGGGACUGACCCAGAUGUCAAACCCCUACUAACUCUGAGGGAAGUUUGGAUUCAGACCCAGAUUUGGAUCUAAAUUUCAUAGCUUGAGCCCAUCUCUAACGUCUCUUCAGCACUGCAGUUGUCACCUGUUCACCACAUAGUCAAGGCUUUAGCAUGACAUAGGGACAUGGUUAAGUCCUGUUUAUGCUGCAAGACAGAAAUUGCUUUGACUAUGUUCGGUCAAUUGGGUUGUAACUGUGGGGUCUCUCCAAGAUGGUUGAAUUUGUACUGUAGGUGGGUCCCAACACAAAGUUCCAAGCAUGGUGGGUAUUUCAGGUACCAUGUGCUGGGUAACAACAUGAGGGGACUCCAUGUUUCUAAAACUAAACUAGCUCUUUACUGAGAGAGGGAGAAGCUGCAAUUGCAGCCAAUAUUCCAGCCACAUGUACGCAGUCUGCCGCCUUGGUGCCUCAUUCAAGCUCUUCCUUCCUGCAACUCGUGCUCCUCCCUCCAAGUUCAAUGCAGAUGGCCUCAGCGGGGACCUUGAAAGAAGGUGUGAAGCCUUGAGUGGGACAAUGGUUCAGGGUGAGUGAGGUACUCAAGAGGAAGCUGGGAAUCUCAGGUUUCAGUUAAAUGCUAUCAUUGAACUAUUAUAUGAGGAAUGUAAUGGACUAACUGGGAUUUACUUUCUGACUCCGAGUUCCCAGAGUAUCUCUUUGGGUCUCUCUAGACGUCUUCCACUUGCCUCUGCACUUCCUGUUAGAUACAUGCAGUAUCCACAACGUGGCACUGUGCCAUGAGGAGUCAAGUGUAAGAACCUACAGUUACUCAACACCGUGGUUUGAUGGCAUCUGUGGAAUUGGCAAAUGGCCUCUCCUGAAUUGUUUUUUCUCUAGGAAUUGCUCAUGGGCUGUGAUGCUCCUGCACAGAAAAACGUGUCUCUUUUCCAAAGUAAAUUGUUCUUAAUGCUCCAAACAGUUUUUUCUACAUAAAUAAAUAAAAUAACAGCAAUAAACCUUGCCAAGGUGUGCAUUAGCCUAUUGGGGAAAGCCUUCUGCCUCAUAGCACUCCUAAGGUGUGCACCAGUGCUCCCAGAAUGCACACCCUGGUGUGAUUUAGUGCUUAAGUAAGUGCUAAUUCAUUGCGGGGGGCACGUCGCAGAGCUGGCUAACCGAACACAUUGGCCUUCCGUGCUGUCCCUCAGCCUCAAGGGUUGGUGGAGAAGUGUGACAGUGAUGCCCAGAGUUGCUUGGAUUGAGAAGAAUCCUGAUUUCAUCUGAAGUGACAGAUCACCUUUCGGCUAUAAUCAUGAGUCACCAGCCACAGUUAAGAAAUUCAGAGCUUUUAACCCAAACCACUGUUCGCUAAUAGUGCAGAGCCUUCAACCUGCACAUGAUGAGAUUCCACAACAACUCUUUAACCCGCAGGCUUCCAGCUCAGCCCCUGCAGAAAUCGGAAUCGUUUAGGCCCUGAAAAACCUUGGGUAAAAGCCUAUUUUAGAAAAUGCCAAAAACAUCUGUGCGUGGUCCCCUUCCUGGGAAAGCACCAUCUGUGCUCUAUGCCACUCCAGAGAAUGACCCAUGACAACUUUGUCCCUCUCCUCUUCCUGGGAUGGAGGUAAUCCACCUGCUGCCAUCCCACCCCAGGCUGCAAUGCUAUCAGCUGCUUUAGAGCAAGAAGCAACAAACUCCUCCGUAGACAGUUACAGGAUAACCUCCCCUGGAAAGCUUCCUCCGAAACCCCACUAGAUAGAGGCUGGUUUGUGCUCUGAAGCAGGAAGUUUUACAUCCUUUCCAAAACUCUUAUUUAGUUUCUUUACAUAUUUUCUUGGCUAGCUCUGGAUAUUUCUGUCUAUUCCUAUUCUGAAGCCUGCUAAACUCGGGGCCUUAAUAAUAUAAUAUGGCAAUGAGUUCCACAUUGUGCAUUGCUUUAAAACGUAGUUUUAGGAAAACAAUCCACUGACUGACAACUGUCCCUGGAAGAUCAGCACAAAGCGCAGGCCACAUAAGGCCCCAUGGUCUAGAACCCAGACCCGUAGAGCUGGCAGGUCUAGGCUGCUACCCAGCAGCAGCUGUAACCACUUUGCGCUCCACUUCCCAGGACCUGCCAUGGACAAAGACCACGGGAAGUUCCGCCUCAGGGUUUGACAGACAUCAGCCCCAUGGCUCCUGGUUGGCUCUCUGCCCUAUAUAAACCCAAGGGGCAUUCCAAGAAGUGUCCAGGCAUCAGGGUGGAUCUUCUGUGGCUUGCCAUGACUGUUCUUGCUCUUGAAUUCCCGGUUUGACCUCAGCUUGAUUUGAACUUCAGUGCCUGGCCUGGGACAUCACUACGAACUCCUCUACUAUUCCCAGACUCAGGUUAGUCUCUGCUCUGACCUUUGGCCCUGACUGCCCUUGUUGGGACCCUGACAGGCCUGCUCCUGAUCCCAACAAAUCCACAUGAGGCCCUUCAGAUUAUAUAAUCCCAAGAGGUAAAUUCUUCACUUAUACUGGUGUUUCUCCAGUUCACCUUUACAUUCCUCUGCUUAAAAUGAAUGCUGUUUAUUUUUGCCACUUUUAUUUCUAGCAAGAUCACUGUGAGGAAAGACUGAUCACAGGACACUCUGCAGGGUUAUAAAAGAUAAGUGAUUAUUUAUCUAGAUUGCAUUAAAUGAAGUUUUCUGCUUCCCAGAUUGGAAAGUACUGGUUAUUUAAAAGAUGCAUUUAUUUUCAGUCAUUCACACUGAAUAAGUUUAAUCAUCAAUGUUUCAGCUCCUCUGACAUUUCUCCAAUCACAUACAAUUUACAUUAUUGAAAUCAGAUAUUUUUGUGUUUACUUUUCAAGGCCUGAUUUCAAAUAUUAUUUGCUUUGGGGUUUUUUCUGGCACUUUGAAAACUGACAAACACUCCCAGCAUUUAUUCUUUACAUAGGAAUGUUUCUAGUUUGUUUGGAUUUAUGAAAUAUCCUGCUGAUGGAGGUUAAAACUAAGAUGCAAUCAAACAGCGUUGUUCAUUAAAAAGAUACUAUUGGGUCAAACUUGACCUAAAAUGAAGGUUUUGUAUAAUAACAAGAAUCAUUUACAAAGACUGAGACCAAUAGAAAAUGUUUCCAUUAUUUAAACUUGUUUCCAUAGGCAUGGUAUUCUUUAAAAUAAUAAUAAUAAUAAUAAUAAUAAAUAAUCCCUGCAUUGUUUGCAGCCAAAACAUUACAUCAUUAUGCCAAUACAUGGGAACCUGAAAGAGAAAAUGACCAAGAACUGUCUCUAAACAAAUGUAAAAUUUACUAAUCCAGUGGUAUUACAACUCUGUAAUUCUUCAGAUCCCUAGAUCAGAAAGAGAGAGCCCACUCAAUGAACAUACCUAGCUUCCCAACACCCCCAUCGCCCGCCAUUUGGUUCUAAGAAUGUUUCACUGUGUAGAUCACCACUGGUGGUCUAUGGAAUAUUGUUUUACAACCUCUGGACCCAAGAUUAUUUUGACUGUGAAAGAGGUGACAACAUCUAAUAAACGGCACAAGCAGUGAGGCGUGAACGUGAUUUUUUUAAAAUAUUUUUUCAGCAUCUGUUAUCUAAGGUAUUUUUUGUAAUACAGAUAACUUGUUUGUCUAAGAAUGUAUUCUUUUUUAACCUGAUGUCUUCUCUUGAGUGGGGCUUAGCUGCCUCAGGAAAGAAUGACCUCAGAUAAGGAGAGGAGUUACUAGUGGAAUAGCUGGUCCCAGGCAAAGAGACUUGCAAAGUGCUGCAAAUAUCAGAGUAGGCCCCAGGAGAAGUAAGGGCACUGGAGGGUUUCAGUCUUAGUUAAAAUAAAUUACACAGAGGAUUGUGAAAUAGAUAUUGCAUUAUGUACAGGCCGUGUGGUCUAGCAGUGAGAUCUAGAUUGUAUUUCUGGCCCUGCCACUGACCUACUGUGUGACCUUGGUCAAGCCAUUUCACCUCUCUGUGCCUCUGUUUACACUCCCACCUUCUGACUGUCUUGUCUAGGUAAACACUGUAAGAUCAUCAGGGCAGAAUCUCUCUCUUAUAACAUGUCUGAUCAGUGCAAGCUCCAUGGGGCUGUAGCUCAGUACUAAGCUUUACAAUAUUACUAUUACUAUCAGAUCACAAUACACAGUCAGUGUUGCAAGCCCCUCUUCUCUCUCUGACCAAGAGCUAGGAGAGAGAGAUUACAAAGGGCUAGAUUGUGACAUUGCACUCCAUAUGCUUUAUGAAAAUAUACUUAUAAAUGUGAAUACGAUGUAACUGGAAUAUGCUUUAUGCAAAAGGUCUCUCGAAAGGUAUCAUUGCAAAGCUUAUAAUCUACUGAGUGUAGUCAUCCUAUUUGUUUGCCUGUAUUAUUUCUAUGUCUGGAGUUAGGAGAAUAAGGUAUAAACUUCUAUUACUGAUGUGAACAUAUUAAGUGGAAGCCAUUAAGGGUGCUUCAGAAUCAAUGAGCUGUAAAUGGCUCUGUUUACUUGCAAACCUUCCUGUGUAUGUGUGGGCCAGCCCAGGAAGAAUGG